UUCAAGUGACGAGACUGACUUCCCUACCUCCAUCAUGGAGCUGAACAUCUUGAUAUAUCUCCUAAUGAUCUUCCCUACAUAUAUGUCAUCACAGAUUACGCUUACAGAGUCUGGUGGUGGCCUGAAGAAGCCAGGAGAGACUCUACAACUGACUUGCACAGUCUCUGGAUUUUCCAUCACAAGCUACGCAGUGCACUGGGUCCGUCAGGCCCCUGGAAAGGGGCUGGAAUCGAAUGGCGUUAUCUGGGCUAGUGGAAGCACUAACUAUAACAGUGCGCUCCAGAAUCGGAUCAGCAUCACACGGGAUACAUCCAAAAACUAAGUGUUCUUUCAGCUGACUGGUUUAAAGUCUGAG